rnacentral:lncRNA from 1 species
UAGUGUCCAAGUUUGAGAGCUUUGAAAUUCAAUAAAUAUCUAGAUCAAAAAACUCUCACCCCAACCUAUUGUCUAAACUGGCCACAUCGGUGCCAUCUGAACUGCCACAAAGAACUUUCUUCAAGAUACUAAGCAACCAUGCACAAAGGAACUAGCGGUAGUAUUGCAAGUGGAUAAAGAGCCCUACUGGAUGGACCCCCUAAUCAGCUAAUCUCAAAGACAGAACUUUGCCAAC